CGCGUAGGCGGUCUCUUAAGUCAGAUGUGAAAGCCCGGGGCUUAACCCCGGAAGUGCAUUUGAAACUAAGGGACUUGAGUAUGGGAGAGGGAAGUGGAAUUCCUGGUGUAGAGGUGAAAUUCGUAGAUAUCAGGAGGAACACCGGUGGCGAAGGCGACUUCCUGGACCAAUACUGACGCUGAGGCGCGAAUGCGUGGGGAGCAAACAGGAUUAGAUACCCUGGUAGUCC
rnacentral:rRNA from 1 species